rnacentral:rRNA from 1 species
CACGUAGGAGGCAAACGUUAUCCGGAUUUACUGGGCGUAAAGCGCGUGUAGGUGGUUCUGUAAGUAGGGCGUGAAAGCUCCCGGCUCAACUGGGAGAGGCCGUUCUAAACUGCAGAGCUAGAGGAUGGUGGAGGGAGGUGGAAUUCCAGGUGUAGCGGUGGAAUGCGCAGAUAUCUGGAGGAACACCAGUGGCGAAAGCGGCCUCCUGGACCAUUCCUGACACUCAGACGCGAAAGCUAGGGUAGCAAACGGGAUUAGAUACCCCCGUAGUCCCU